rnacentral:lncRNA from 1 species
UGAACUUAUUUUUCUGUCUCCUGUANUCUUUUUGUUUUGUCCCUGAGUGAAUGGAAGAUUGUUUUCAGGGGAGUGUAUGAUCACACAAAGCUUAAACGUACAGGACAGAGGGAAACGAAGGGGAAAAGGCUGUUUACACUUUCCUCUCCCUUCAUAAUAGAUUGUAAAUGAAUAUGAAGAAGCUGUCGUCUUUAGACUGGGACAUCUGCAAAAAGAACCUAAAGGGCCUGGGACACAUUUUAUCUUGCCUUGUACAGAUAAAGUUAUCAGCGUGGACAUGAGGACAAAAUCAGUUAAUGUAUUGCUUCAGGAAGUCCUUACCAAAGACCCCCUGCAAAUCCAAGUGGAUACGGUGGUUUACUUCCGGGUUCAGAAUGCUAUUCUCUCGGUCAUGAGUGUGGCUGACGCAGA